UUUGACAUACAUUUGACAGACAGUUAUAUUGUUGUUGUUAUGCAACGGUUUUCGAUUUUUGUUAGAAGACAUGGGUGUUUGUUGCAGCAACUAAUCUGUAGAUGAGACAUUUAUGGUUUUCUAAAUGUAUCAAAAAAUAAUUCAUUUGUCUGCCAUUCUUACCACAUUUUAAGACUAUUUGUGAUGGUGGGACAGUGAAAGUAUGAAGAUGGGUUAUCAAGGUGUAGCAUUACUUAUAGCAGCAUUUAUUGGAAUUGGCUUUGCUGCAUAUCAAUAUUAUACCCAACAAAACACUGCUUAUACACAAGAUAGUCAAAGUAGAUCACAUGUUUAUACUUAUGUACCACCCUCAGAUGAACCUACAGACGACACGUGUCGAAAACGCAGGAGAUCAUCACUUGGUGAUAAAUGUUCAAUCUGUCAAGAAACUUUGAUGGGUCAUAUCAGACAUUUAUCAUGCAAGCAUUCUUUUCAUAAGGAUUGUAUUGAAGAAUGGUUUAAAGAAAGUAGAACAUGUCCAGUUUGCCGUAGGGUAGUAUAAUACUUCCUAUAUAUUUUUUAAUAUUUAAAUAUGGGGUUUUAACUCAAGUGCUUUGUUGGGCACAUUUUUCAGUUAGGUUAUAUAUGUGGUUCUAGUCUAGUCCACUUUUUAUUUACAUGUUUUGCAGUUAAGUAUGUUAUCUCAAAAAAAUAAUACAAUUAUGAUAUAAUUAUUUGUGUGUAAUGAGAAUACAUUAGAUUAAUGUAUUCUCAAAUUGUUAAAUUUUGUUUUGACUUUCGUUGAAAUGUGUGAUUUUAAUUAUGAACAAAGUUUGAAUUUAAUUUAAAAUAGGAAAAAGUGUGGUAUAGUAAUAAGUAGUCUUUAGGAAUGCUAAGGGAGCUACAUAACUGAUUUGAAAUCUAGAGUUUUAUUGUUAAGGGUAGCAGAUAUUGUUUUAUGAUUCUUUGUCUUUGUAUGUAGGUAUUGAAUAUGGCAAUAUUUUUCUACAACACGUGCUGUUAAAUUUGUGAUAUUAGUGAGCAAGUUAUAUGACAAACAUGUGUGGACACUUUUUGUGUUUAGUUUUUUUUUUUUUUUUUUGAAACCUAAUGAACAUUAAAUAAGUACACCAGUUUAUAUUGUGCACCAAUUUUUCAUGAUGUUACCUUUUUGGAUUUUUUUUGUUUGCUUUUGCUCUGUUUGUUGCAAAAAGGGGGUUUUGUAGGGUAGUGAAUUUUUCCCCUUCCUAUAAAAAUUAUGUGUCUGGGUAUAACGAUUUUUCAAACUUAAAAACGCAUUACAGCUUUUUAACAAGAGGCACUGUUUCUGUUCCUGGGCCCCUUUACUAUUAGCAGACAGCGGACACGUAAGUCCUCCAUAGGCUCGCGUCUUCGCUGCAUGUACCUCAAAAACUAUUAUUGUCCUCUCAAUAUUUUCCUUAUUGAGUUUGUAAUGUUGUUGUUGUGGUUUACGUUUAAUGUGCAGCAUGAACACUGGUGAAUAUGCGUGAAUUUAAAGAAAAAAGUACCCCUUUGCAGUUAGCCAUCUAAAGGUUAAUUACUCGGACUCAAGCUUCAAGUGUAUCACUGCGCUAGCGGUUUGUCCUCUUAUUACCCGGUUGAGUCCCUCAUCUGGCUAUUACCUACCUUCCUCUAAUUUUGUAAGCCCCCCCCUGUGCAGCUGCACUAGAUGGCAGAUUGUGUUUUACAUUCGUUUAGUGUCUCGCAUAUAUAAAUUGUGUAUUUUUUUGUCGACGCUGGUAUUAUAGGACCGUCCUGAAUAUGGUGUAUUAUUCACACGUACAGAUGUUAAUUUUGAUUUAGGAAAGUGAGGAUAUUGAUUAAUAAAAAAAAUGGUAGAAGGUUAUUUUAACAGAAUGAAGUACAAUAAAACAAAUCCAAUUGAU